rnacentral:other from 1 species
UUUCUCCUGCUUGGUGCGUGAUGUGUCCUGUUGGACCCACAUCUUGUAAUCGGGAUGCUUUUUUCCGGAUUGGAUUGCAGACCUCCCGCCCCCGCUUUGACGACGGGCGGACGCUGGGAGCAGCGAAAAUUCAGAGCGGCAACCCACCUGCCGAAUCGUGCAGGUCAUAAUUGGACGCACACGGCUAAAGCGGGGUUAGG